GAUGAACGCUGGCGGCGUGCCUAAUACAUGCAAGUCGAGCGAACAGACGAGGAGCUUGCUCCUCUGACGUUAGCGGCGGACGGGUGAGUAACACGUGGAUAACCUACCUAUAAGACUGGGAUAACUUCGGGAAACCGGAUCUAAUACCGGAUAAUAUAUUGAACCGCAUGAUUCAAUAGUGAAAGACGGUUUUGCUGUCACUUAUAGAUGGAUCCGCGCCGCAUUAGCUAGUUGGUAAGGUAACGGCUUACCAAGGCUACGAUGCGUAGCCGACCUGAGAGGGUGAUCAGCCACACUGGAACUGAGACACGGUCCAGACUCCUACGGGAGGCAGCAGUAGGGAAUCUUCCGCAAUGGGCGAAAGCCUGACGGAGCAACGCCGCGUGAGUGAUGAAGGUCUUCGGAUCGUAAAGCUCUGUUAUUAGGGAAGAACAAAUGUGUAAGUAUAUAUGCACGUCUUGACGGUACCAAAAGAGAAAGCCACGGCUAACUACGUG
rnacentral:rRNA from 1 species